GACGAACGCUGGCGGCGUGCUUAACACAUGCAAGUCGAACGGUAAGGCCCUUCGGGGUACACGAGUGGCGAACGGGUGAGUAACACGUGGGUGAUCUGCCCUGCACUUCGGGAUAAGCCUGGGAAACUGGGUCUAAUACCGGAUAGGACCACUGCCUGCAUGGGGGGUGGGGGAAAGCUUUUGCGGUGUGGGAUGGGCCCGCGGCCUAUCAGUUUGUUGGUGGGGUGAUGGCCUACCAAGGCGACGACGGGUAGUCGGCCUGAGAGGGUGACCGGCCACACUGGGACUGAGAUACGGCCCAGACUCCUACGGGAGGCAGCAGUGGGGAAUAUUGCACAAUGGGCGCAAGCCUGAUGCAGCGACGCCGCGUGAGGGAUGACGGCCUUCGGGUUGUAAACCUCUUUCAGCACCGACGAAGCGCAAGUGACGGUAGGUGCAGAAGAAGGACCGGCCAACUACGUGCCAGCAGCCGCCGUAA
rnacentral:rRNA from 1 species